rnacentral:rRNA from 1 species
GUCCGCACUGUAAACGAUGAUCACUCGUUGUUGGCGAUACACAGUCAGCGACUAAGCGAAAGCAUUAAGUGAUCCACCUGGGGGAGUACGACCGCAAGGUUGAAACUCAAAGGAAUUGACGGGGGCCCGCACAAGCGGAGGAGCAUGUGGUUUAAUUCGAUGGUACGCGAGGAACCUUACCUGGGCUUGAAAGACUAAUGACAGUCUCUGAAAGGAGAUUUUCCGCAAGGACAGUAGUCUAGGUGCUGCAUGGCUGUCGU